rnacentral:rRNA from 1 species
GGGGAAUAUUGCACAAUGGGCGAAAGCCUGAUGCAGCGACGCCGCGUGAGGGAUGACGGCCUUCGGGUUGUAAACCUCUUUCAGCAGGGAAGAAGCGAGAGUGACGGUACCUGCAGAAGAAGCACCGGCUAACUACGUGCCAGCAGCCGCGGUAAUACGUAGGGUGCGAGCGUUGUCCGGAAUUAUUGGGCGUAAAGAGCUCGUAGGCGGCUUGUCACGUCGGAUGUGAAAGCCCGGGGCUUAACCCCGGGUCUGCAUUCGAUACGGGCAGGCUAGAGUUCGGUAGGGGAGAUCGGAAUUCCUGGUGUAGCGGUGAAAUGCGCAGAUAUCAGGAGGAACACCGGUGGCGAAGGCGGAUCUCUGGGCCGAUACUGACGCUGAGGAGCGAAAGCGUGGGGAGCGAAC